rfam:Microgenomates (Daviesbacteria) bacterium GW2011_GWA2_40_9 TT29_C0010, whole genome shotgun sequence.
CGGGGUGUAGUUCAUCGGCAGAACGUCCGGUUUGGGACCGGAAAGUAGGAGGUUCAAUUCCUCUCACCCCGA